GAUGAAGAGGUUUGUGACUGAAUGGCGGACGGGUGAGUAACGCGUGGGUAACCUGCCUCAUACAGGGGGAUAACAGUUAGAAAUGACUGCUAAUACCGCAUAAGACCACGGAGCCGCAUGGCUCGGUGGGAAAAACUCCGGUGGUAUGAGAUGGACCCGCGUCUGAUUAGGUAGUUGGUGGGGUAACGGCCUACCAAGCCAACGAUCAGUAGCCGACCUGAGAGGGUGACCGGCCACAUUGGGACUGAGACACGGCCCAAACUCCUACGGGAGGCAGCAGUGGGGAAUAUUGCACAAUGGGGGAAACCCUGAUGCAGCGACGCCGCGUGAGCGAAGAAGUAUUUCGGUAUGUAAAGCUCUAUCAGCAGGGAAGAAAAUGACGGUACCUGACUAAGAAGCACCGGCUAAAUACGUGCCAGCAGCCGCGGUAAUACGUAUGGUGCAAGCGUCAUCCGGAUUUACUGGGUGUAAAGGGAGCGUAGACGGCUGUGUAAGUCUGAAGUGAAAGCCCGGGGCUCAACCCCGGGACUGCUUUGGAAACUAUGCAGCUGGAGUGUCGGAGAGGUAAGUGGAAUUCCCAGUGUAGCGGUGAAAUGCGUAGAUAUUGGGAGGAACACCAGUGGCGAAGGCGGCUUACUGGACGAUGACUGAC
rnacentral:rRNA from 1 species